CUGAGAUCAAUGACCUCUUCAAACCCCAUAAUGCAAGCUUCAUACUCAGCCAUAUUGUUUGUACACUUGGAAGUCAAUCUAGUUGUAAAUGGAAAAUGAGUGCCUUGAGGAGUAAUAAUCAUUGCCUCAAUGCCAUUACCAUACUUACUAACAUCUCCAUCAAAUACCAUGCCCCAACGGAAACCAGGUUCUGGCCCUUCUUCAAGCAAUGGUUCAUCACAAUCUUUCAUUUUCAAGUACAAGAUCUCUUCAUCAGGAAUGUU
rnacentral:lncRNA from 1 species